GCUCAGGAACUGCCUCGCACCGAAGCCAUCCUGAACUCAGGAACUGCCUCGCGGCUCCCCGGGUAAACUGUGUUGCCAAGGUGCUGGAGAGGUAAGGGAUUUGGAAGGAAGACCCUUUCAAGACCUCAUCAGUUUAUGAAUGGCAUGCUGCCUGGUGCAAGUUUGAAGAGUCCUGAUACGGAUUACAGCCCUGCCUGCUGAAGCAAAGCA